AAGGGGGUUGAUGUCACGGGAGGGAAGACAACAAGCAGCGCGUGAGUUUACUGGUUGCUGUGGUAACCAGCCCUGGUCCUUCAUUGACCCGGCCGCGAGCAGGAAUGAGCAGCCGAUGCUCCCUCUCUGAGCUUUUUUUUAACAGAUAAAAAGCCUACCAGAUGAAUUGUGUAAUUUGAUUGAAUUAAGAGAGCUUGACAUAUCGUACAAUGCACUGGCAUCCAUUCCAGCCAACAUUGGAGAAAUGAAGAACUUGGAAAGGCUUGUAGCUGCAUAUAAUAAAAUAACCUACCUCCCCAAAUCCCUGACAACACUUGCCAAUCUGAUGUCCAUUAAUCUGAGAGGAAAUGAAUUAACUUCAUUACCAACCAAUUUUGGACAACUGAAGUCUUUGAAAGAAAUAGAUUUGAAUGAAAACCCACUAGUAAGACCUCCAAAGAUAGUAUGUGAAGGGGGAACACUCACACCAAUUGAACAGUAUUUGAAAUACGCACAUGCAAAGGAUAGUAAGUGUUUUGUAUUGAAUAAUAUGAAAAGUUUCUGGAGAAAGUUUUACAGUUAAUACCAAAUCACGUUCCUGAAGAAGAUUUUGGAUAUUUCUGUGCCAAGCUCCAUCUACCUUCCAGUGACAUUACUGCUCUUGAAAAGUCAAGGAUAGAAUUAAAACAGAAGAUAAAGGAAGCUCUACACUGGUGGGAAAAUAACCGUGCAAGUACACUAGAACCUGCUGAGGCUUUAGAAGAGUUAAUUCGGACACUCUACAAAGCAGACUUGUUUGAAAUAACUUCAAUAAUCAAAUCUUUAAGGGUGUAUGAACAUGCUGUCAAACUGUAAAUUUGUUUCACACCCAUGAUGAUUGAAUUAUAACUCUUGAAAAAUGUUCUUGUCUGGACAUCAAAAGGCCUUGGAAAAGGAGAUUAAAAUUGUUUUAACAGA